AAUCCCUCCUGCUUUAAACAGUAUGGUGUUCAGGAAAGCGAGUCUCCAGCCCUGACAUAGGCUAAGCUUUAAGGUCACCAGACCCGAAGUCCCCGUCAGAGUGUUGAUUUUAAAAUGUCUUUCUGUUUUCCUAGGUGAGAAUUUCAUAACCGAGAAGAUUUCACUCUGUUUCAUGGAAAAUCGGGGAGUUAAGCUUCCUUUUUACUUGUUAGAUAGUAUUUCAGUCUCUCAGCCCAGGCAUGGAGAAGCCCAAGUGGGGGGUAAGAUAGGAUCCUGUGGAAAUACUGUUUGGUUUUAUUUUUACCACAUGAGUCUUAAAAGGAACUGUUAAAAUGAUGCUUGUAACUAAUGCUUUACAUCAAUUAAUGAUUAGGCAUUCUUCCCUAAGCGAUUGCUAAGCAGUCCCUAGCUUUAGCACAUUCCCAUAAUUAUGGUGUCUACCGUUGAUGCAGACCAAGGACAGUGUCCGGGGUAAUGAUUGGGAAUACUAAGCUAAUUGUAUCUGCUCUUUCCCUCCAAGAGCUUACAGCCCAGAGUCUGGUUCGAAUAAAAUGCAGUGUAAGAUAUUAAGGGAAUAUUGCCUUGUUGCUAUGGAAGAAUGACAAAGAAGGGCAGAAGCAUUCUCUCUGGCAAAGCACACUAUGUUGUUUGGUGACGUUCGCGUUUUAUGACUGGUAUGAGUCUUUCAACAAGUAAUGCCACUUCUGUAUAACUAUUAAAAGCUGCGCGUGAGUAGUUAAAGAGUAAGAAAAUAUCAGCCCAUGCGAGGCUCUGGCUGCCAAGCUCGGGAGAUUGAAUUUUAUCUUGAAACUGAUUGAGGGACAGAGAAUGAGAGAUGGAAGUCUGAAGACAUGAUAUGGUCGGCAGGAUGUUUCAUUAACACAUCCAUGUCAGUUUUUUUCCAGUGGGACUAAAGGGGUGACCAACAGUAAAGAGGGCAUCGGCUUAAAAUCCAAGUGAUGAGGACAUUGCAGAAGAUGGAUUGAAAACACUGCAUAGGCCGUGAAUGGUUGAGUGCUUGGUGAUAUGGUCAUAAUGGGCAUAGGAUUGAUGGGAAAUUCCAGCCUCGCCGGGGUCUGGUAGAAGACAUGAAGUAGACAAACUCAAGCACUCCAGGCUGCAGGACAUAUUUGCAGAACACGGAGAAGACCUUCCUUG
ensembl:lncRNA